rnacentral:rRNA from 1 species
AUUGAACGCUGGCGGCAUGCCUUACACAUGCAAGUCGAACGGUAACAGGUCUUCGGAUGCUGACGAGUGGCGAACGGGUGAGUAAUACAUCGGAACGUGCCUAGUAGUGGGGGAUAACUACUCGAAAGAGUGGCUAAUACCGCAUGAGAUCUACGGAUGAAAGCAGGGGAUCGCAAGACCUUGUGCUACUAGAGCGGCCGGUGGCAGGUUAGGUAGUUGGUGGGAUAAAAGCUUACCAAGCCGACGAUCUGUAGCCGGUCCGAGAGGGCGAUCAGCCACACUGGGACUUAGACACGGCCCAGACUCCUACGGGAGGCAGCAGUGGGGAAUUUUGGAGAAUGGGCGCAAGCCUGAUCCAGCAAUGCCGCGUGCAGGAUGAAGGCCUUCGGGUUGUAAACUGCUUUUGUACGGAACGAAAAGCCCUGGGUUAAUACCCUGGGGUCAUGACGGUACCGUAAGAAUAAGCACCGGCUAACUACGUGCCAGCCGCCGCGGUAAAAC